rnacentral:sRNA from 1 species
CUAGUCUCUCACUUCUCUACCAUAACCAGAACAAAAUCUCCUUCCUUUUGCUUAUUUUAACAGUGUGUUUGAGUGUUUCAAGAUCAAUGAGAUUCUUAGCGGUGUGUUUUGUCUUCUUAUUUCUGGUGUUACAAGUAACAGACAUUACAUGUUUCACUUUCAGCAAGGAGAAAAAGCUGUCAGAAUUCAGGGCCAAACUUGAACGAAAGAUUCAAGAUUUAGCUGCAAGUCCUUUGGCAUCACCACCCGCUUCAUCAGAAACAAAGAGGAGAGGGAGAGUGUUGUACGUGAGUGAGUAUGGUGCGGAUCCAAGUGGAAAUGAAGAGAGUGGUGAUGCCAUUUUGAAAGCAGUGGAAGAUGCUUCUAGUUUGCAGAAGGGUUAUGAGAUGGUUGCAGGGGUGAAUGACCUUGGAGGAGUUGUCAUUGAUUUGGAAGGUGGAAACUACAAAAUCAGCAAACCCAUCACAUUCCCUUCAGGUGUUGGCAAUAUUGUGGUAAGAGAAGGAACGUUGAGAGCAUCUGAUAAAUUUCCUGGUGAUAGACAUCUAGUUGAGUUAUGGUCAUCAAAGACUGGGAAAGAAGGCAAUGGUGGAAUUUACUAUGAAGACAUAACUUUCAGGGACAUUCUCUUUGAUUCAAGCUACAGAGGAGGAGGGAUAUUGAUCAUUGAUUCUGCUAGAAUCCGGAUCAACAAUUGCUUCUUCCUUCACUUCACCACAGAAGGAAUUCUGGUCCACCAAGGACACGAGACCUUCAUCACAGAUUGCUUUCUUGGACAACACUCAACCGUCGGAGGAGACAAAGAUGAAAAGCACUUCUCAGGGGUGGCCAUCGAUCUUGCUAGCAAUGAUAAUGCAAUCACAGAUGUUGUAGUUUUCUCAGCAGCCAUUGGUGUUGUUCUACGGGGUCAAGCUAACAUUUUAACUGGGGUGCAUUGCUAUAACAAGGCAACAGGUUUUGGUGGCAUAGGGAUAUUAGUGAAAUUGCCUGGUAAUUCUCUGACAAGAAUUGACAACUGUUAUAUGGAUUACACUGGAAUAGUGAUGGAAGAUCCAGUUCAAGUUCAUGUCACAAAUGGGUUGUUUCUAGGGGAUGCUAAUAUUGUAUUGAAGUCUGUUAAAGGUCAAGUUUUGGGUCUAAAUAUAGUGAAUAACAUGUUCAAUGGUGACCCCAAAAGAAAGGUUCCUAUUGUAAGUCUAGACGGGGAAUUCAGUAGCAUUGAUCAAGCGCUGGUUGAUCACAACCUUGUCAAUGGGAUGGGCUUGAGAUCAACGGUUGGGAAGUUAACUGUCAAUGGAAAUGGCACAAAGUGGGUGGCUGAUUUUUCAUCGGUUUUGGUGUUUCCUAAGAAAAUUAGCAAUUUUCAAUUUUCAUUUUACGCUCAAGAUGAGCCUAAGUUUGUAGCAUUUUCUGUGACCAAUGUGUCAGAUAACGUUGUUGUUGUGGAGAGUGAGAAAGAAGCGAAAGGGUCUGUUUCCUUC